rnacentral:rRNA from 1 species
GAACCUUACCAAAUCUUGACAUCCCUCUGACAAUCUAUGUAAUGUAGACUCUCUUCGGAGCAGAGGAGACAGGUGGUGCAUGGUUGUCGUCAGCUCGUGUCGUGAGAUGUUGGGUUAAGUCCCGCAACGAGCGCAACCCUUGCCUUUAGUAGCCAGCGGUAUCGGCCGGGCACUCUAGAGGGACUGCCAGGGAUAACCUGGAGGAAGGUGGGGAUGACGUCAAAUCAUCAUGCCCCUUAUGAUUUGGGCUACACACGUGCUACAAUGGCGUAAACAAAGAGAAGCGAAACCGUGAGGUGGAGCAAAUCUCAAAAAUAACGUCUCAGUUCGGAUUGUAGUCUGCAACUCGACUACAUGAAGCUGGAAUCGCUAGUAUCGCGAUCAGAAUUCGCGAACG